rnacentral:rRNA from 1 species
UACGGAGGGGGCUAGCGUUGUUCGGAAUUACUGGGCGUAAAGCGCGCGUAGGCGGACCUGCAAGUCGGGGGUGAAAGCCCGAGGCUCAACCUCGGAACUGCCUUCGAUACUGCGGGUCUCGAGUCCGGGAGAGGUGAGUGGAAUUCCUAGUGUAGAGGUGAAAUUCGUAGAUAUUAGGAAGAACACCGGUGGCGAAGGCGGGUCUCUGGGCCGAAACUGACGCUGAGGAGCGAAAGCGUGGGGAGCAAACAGG